rnacentral:rRNA from 1 species
AUAUCAGUCAUGCAUAGCAUAUCAAUAAGCGGAGGAAAAGAAACUAACAAGGAUUCCCUUAGUAACGGCGAGUGAAGCGGGAAGAGCUCAAAUUUGAAAUCUUCAAGGUUCUACCUUGACGAAUUGUAGUUUAUAGAAGUGUUUUCUGUUAGUAGGAGUGGCAAAAGUUCUUUGGAAUAGGACAUCAUAGAGGGUGAGAAUCCCGUAUUUGGUCAUUCUCUUCCUAGCUUUGUGAUACACUUUCAACGAGUCGGAUUGUUUGGGAAUGCAGUCCAAAAUGGGUGGUAAAUUUCAUCUAAAGCUAAAUAUUGGCGAGAGACCGAUAGCGAACAAGUACCGUGAGGGAAAGAUGAAAAGAACUUUGAAAAGAGAGUUAAACAGUACGUGAAAUUGUCAAAAGGGAAGCGUUUGACACCAGUGUUGUUUUUCCGAAAAUCAAUUACGAAUGUUUUGUUUUUAAGAAGUUAUGACUUCAUCGGCUUGCUUCUUUCUUUACGAAACUUUCUUAAUGCACUUUUCGGUUAACAAGUCAACAUCAAUUUCUUUUGUUGUAAAAGGGUACGAGGAAGGUGGCUUUCUUUUCGGAGAAAGUGUUUAUAGCCUUGUACCUCUGCAAUCGGAGAGAUUGAGGUCUGCAGCGUAGAUCCUUCGGGGUUAGAUACAUUUGUGCUAAGUUAUAGCUUUUCAUAGACAACUUGUUGACUAUGUUAAGUCUUGUAGCUUACUCGCUUAUGCUAUUUUACCUACGCUUAGGAUGUUGAUCUCUCACAGUCGAGC